rnacentral:rRNA from 1 species
CCUACGGGUGGCAGCAGUGGGGAAUAUUGGACAAUGGGCGAAAGCCUGAUCCAGCCAUGCCGCGUGUGUGAAGAAGGCCUUCGGGUUGUAAAGCACUUUCAGUGGGGAAGAAAGCCUUGGGGCUAAUACCCUCGAGGAAGGACAUCACCCACAGAAGAAGCACCGGCUAACUCCGUGCCAGCAGCCGCGGUAAUACGGAGGGUGCGAGCGUUAAUCGGAAUUACUGGGCGUAAAGCGCGCGUAGGCGGUCUGAUAAGCCGGUUGUGAAAGCCCCGGGCUCAACCUGGGAACGGCAUCCGGAACUGUCAGGCUAGAGUGCAGGAGAGGAAGGUAGAAUUCCCGGUGUAGCGGUGAAAUGCGUAGAGAUCGGGAGGAAUACCAGUGGCGAAGGCGGCCUUCUGGACUGACACUGACGCUGAGGUGCGAAAGCGUGGGUAGCAAACAGGAUUAGAACCCUAGUAGUC